rnacentral:rRNA from 1 species
GACGAACGCUGGCGGCAUGCUUAACACAUGCAAGUCGAACGGGAAGGCCCUGCUUUUGUGGGGUGCUCGAGUGGCGAACGGGUGAGUAACACGUGAGUAACCUGCCCUUGACUUUGGGAUAACUUCAGGAACCUGGGGCUAAUACCGGAUAGGAGCGCCUGCUGCAUGGUGGGGGUUGGAAAGUUUGGGCGUUUGGGGUUGGACUGUCGGCUUCUAAGGUUGUUGGUGGGGUAGUGGUUUAGCAAGGCUUCGACGGGUAGCAGGCCUGUGAGGGGGACCGGCCACAAUGGGAGUGAGGUGAGGCACAGAAUACUACGGGAGGCAGCAGUGGGGAAUAUUGCACAAUGGGCGGAAGCCUGAUGCAGCAACGCCGCGUGCGGGAUGACGGCCUUCGGGUUGUAAACCGCUUUCGCCUGUGACGAAGCGUGAGUGACGGUAAUGGGUAAAGAAGCACCGGCUAACUACGUG